rnacentral:RNase_P_RNA from 1 species
GGCAGAGGGAGCCCGGUUCCCGUGGGUGCGUCCUCGACGGCUCCGCCGUCCCGGCGUGCCACGCCGAGACGUGCCCAUGAGGAAAGUCCCCCCACCCUCCGGGCAGGUGACCGGGCGCAAGCCCGGAGCGGGAGACCGCUGGCGCUGGAACAGAAACGAGACCACCCACCCNNNNNNCAGGUAGCCCGGAGACGCGGCGGGUGCUCAGCCGAAUGCCGGGUCGAAACAGAAGGGGGCUUACUACCCUCAGCC